UACGUAGGGUGCGAGGCGUAUCCGGAAUUAUUGGGCGUAAAGAGCUGUAGGCGGUUUGUCGCGUCUGCUGUGAAAGCCCGGGGCUUAACUCCGGGUCUGCAGUGGGUACGGGCAGGCUAGAGUGAUGUAGGGGUAACUGGAAUUCCUGGUGUAGCGGUGGAAUGCGCAGAUAUCAGGAAGAACACCGAUGGCGAAGGCAGGUUACUGGGCAUUUACUGACGCUGAGAAGCGAAAGCAUGGGGAGCGAACAGGAUUAGAUACCCUGGUAGUCCAUGCCGUAAACGUUGGGCACUAGGUGUGGGGAGCAUUCCACGUUUUCCGCGCCGUAGCUAACGCAUUAAGUGCCCCGCCUGGGGAGUACGGCCGCAAGGCUAAAACUCAAAGGAAUUGACGGGGGCCCGCACAAGCGGCGGAGCAUGCUGAUUAAUUCGAUGCAACGCGAAGAACCUUACCAAGGCUUGACAUGAACCGGACCGCCGCAGAGAUGCGGUUUCCCUUCGGGGCUGGUUUACAGGUGGUGCAUGGUUGUCGUCAGCUCGUGUCGUGAGAUGUUGGGUUAAGUCCCGCAACGAGCGCAACCCUCGUUCUAUGUUGCCAGCACGUGAUGGUGGGGACUCAUAGGAGACUGCCGGGGUCAACUCGGAGGAAGGUGGGGAUGACGUCAAAUCAUCAUGCCCCUUAUGUCUUGGGCUUCAAGCAUGCUACAAUGGCCGAUACAAAGGGUUGCGAUACUGUGAGGUGGAGCUAAUCCCAAAAAGUCGGUCUCAGUUCGGAUUGGGGUCUGCAACUCGACCCCAUGAAGUCGGAGUCGCUAGUAAUCGCAGAUCAGCAACGCUGCGGUGAAUACGUUCCCGGGCC
rnacentral:rRNA from 1 species